AGUGAACGCUGGCGGUAGGCCUAACGCAUGCAAGUCGAACGGCAGCACAGUAAGAGCUUGCUCUUACGGGUGGCGAGUGGCGGACGGGUGAGGAAUACAUCGGAAUCUACUUUUUCGUGGGGGUUAAGUUGGGAAAACUUACGUUAUUACCCAUUCGAACUUCCGGUUGAAACAAGGGGAUCUUGGACCUUUGCCCGUUUUAUUGAGCCGAUGUCGGAUUAGCUAGUUGGCGGGGUAAAGGCCCACCAAGGCGACGAUCCGUAGCUGGUCUGAGAGGAUGAUCAGCCACACUGGAACUGAGACACGGUCCAGACUCCUACGGGAGGCAGCAGUGGGGAAUAAUGGACAAUGGGCGCAAGCCUGAUCCAGCCAUACCGCGUGGGUGAAGAAGGCCUUCGGGUUGUAAAGCCCUUUUGUUGGGAAAGAAAAGCAGCAGGUUAAUACCCCGCUGUUCUGACGGUACCCAAAGAAUAAGCACCGGCUAACUUCGUG
rnacentral:rRNA from 1 species